CUUCGCUUGGCCGAAAGUGGUGAACUUCCGAAUUUGGUUUUCUCCGAUGAGAAAACAUUCGUUAUCCAGCAGUUCCUAAACAAACAAAAUGAUCGUGUUUACUUGCCAAAGAGGUCAACUGAAAAUUUACACCUUCGGUUGGCCGCCAGAACUCAAGCGCCAGCCAUGGUGAUGGUGUGGGCCGCCAUAACAGUCGAUGGUCGCUAUCCGCUCGUAUUAAUCGACCGUGGCAUCAAAAUAAAUGCAGAAUAUUAUCGCGAAAUUACUCUUGGGCACGCAAACAUUUUGGCUGCAGACCUUGGACAUACCAACGGAACUCAGCUCUAUCGCACUCAGCACACGCCACCCAAGAAUGGUUACAAAAUGAGGUUCCUCUAUUCAUUCCCAUCGCACAAUGGCCACCAAAAUCUCCGGAAACCAAUCCGUUGGACUAUUGUUUCUGGAGUAUUUUAGAGAGCAAGGUUGGCACUAAAAAAAUACCAAAUUGUCGAUCACCUCAAGCAAGCGCUUCGCCGGGAAUUGGCCAAAAUACCGCAGAGCAACAUUCGUGAUGGUGUCUGACGGUUUCAUUGGCCGUUUGAAGGCCAUAAUUCGUGCUAAAGGUGACCAAUUCGAACAAAUCUAAACUUAUUCUAAAAUUUGAUGCUAUUUCCGACAUUUUUUGUUUUU